UACGUAUGGUGCAAGCGUUAUCCGGAUUUACUGGGUGUAAAGGGAGCGCAGGCGGCACGGCAAGCCUGAUGUGAAAGCCCGCGGCCCAACCGCGGGACUGCAUUGGGAACUACCGGGCUGGAGUGCCGGAGAGGUAGGCGGAAUUCCUAGUGUGGCGGUGAAAUGCGUAGAUAUUAGGAGGAACACCAGUGGCGAAGGCGGCCUACUGGACGGUGACUGACGCUGAGGCUCGAAAGCGUGGGGAGCAAACAGG
rnacentral:rRNA from 1 species